rnacentral:rRNA from 1 species
AUUGAACGCUGGCGGCAGGCCUAACACAUGCAAGUCGAACGAGUUGCGGACGGGUGCGUAAUGUCUGGGAAACUGCCUGAUGGAGGGGGAUAACUACUGGAAACGGUAGCUAAUACCGCAUACCAUCGGAUGUGCCCAGAUGGGAUUAGCUAGUUGGUGGGGUAACGGCUCACCUAGGCGACGAUCCCUAGCUGGUCUGCGAGGAUGACCAGCCAACAUGGAACUGAGACACGGUCCAGACGCCUACGGGAGGCAGCAGUGGGGAAUAUUGCACAAUGGGCGCAAGCCUGAUGCAGCCAUGUCGCGUGUAUGAAGAAGGCCUUCGGGUUGUAAAGUACUUUCAGCGGGGAGGCGUUACCCGCAGAAGAAGCACCGGCUAACUCCGUGCCAGCCGACGCGGUAAUUC